rnacentral:rRNA from 1 species
GAUGAACGCUGGCGGCGUGCCUAAUACAUGCAAGUCGAGCGAACAGACGAGGAGCUUGCUCCUCUGACGUUAGCGGCGGACGGGUGAGUAACACGUGGAUAACCUACCUAUAAGACUGGGAUAACUUCGGGAAACCGGAGCUAAUACCGGAUAACAUGUUGAACCGCAUGGUUCAACAGUGAAAGACGGUCUUGCUGUCACUUAUAGAUGGAUCCGCGCCGCAUUAGCUAGUUGGUAAGGUAACGGCUUACCAAGGCAACGAUGCGUAGCCGACCUGAGAGGGUGAUCAGCCACACUGGAACUGAGACACGGUCCAGACUCCUACGGGAGGCAGCAGUAGGGAAUCUUCCGCAAUGGGCGAAAGCCUGACGGAGCAACGCCGCGUGAGUGAAGAAGGUCUUCGGAUCGUAAAACUCUGUUAUUAGGGAAGAACAAAUGUGUAAGUAACUAUGCACGUCCUGACGGUACCUAAUCAGAAAGCCACGGCUAACUACGUG